AUUGAACGCUGGCGGCAGGCCUAACACAUGCAAGUCGAGCGAGCGGCGGACGGGUGAGUAAUGUAUGGGGACUGCCUGAUAGAGGGGGAUGACUACUGUAAACGGUGGCUAAUAGCGCAUAAUAUCGGAUAACCCUUAUGGGAUUAGCUAGUAGGUGGGGUAAAGGCUAACCUAGGCGACGAUUCCUAGCUGGUCUGAGAGGAUGAUCAGCCACACGGGGACUGAGACACGGCCCAGACUCCUACGGAGGCAGCAGUGGGGAAUAUUGCACAAUGGGCGCAAUCCUGAUGCAGCCAGGCCGCGUGAAUGAAGAAGGCCUUCGGGUUGUAAAGUACUGUCAGCAGGGAGGCGGUACCUACAGAAGAAGCACCGGCUAACUCCGUGCCAGCAGCCGCGGUAAUAC
rnacentral:rRNA from 1 species